rnacentral:lncRNA from 1 species
AUGUCUUUACAGGUCCCCAAAUGCCCUGAAAAUAGCUCCCAACAGAAACUUAUCUUUACAGAGACAACUGGACGCAUUAUUCCUUCUCCAAAUGCCCCAGAAUUAGCUCCACACAGAAACUCCCUCCAAACUACAUUGACAGAUUAAAGAAUUAACUUCCCACAGAAACUCCCUCCAAAUUACAUUGUAGAAAUAGUUCACACUCUAUGCAAAACAUUAUAAACGCAUAAUGUUAUACAUGCACUAAAUACUAGAAACCUUGAUUUCUGUCUUUUUCUAUUGAAAAAUAAAAUAAAAACAACAAUCAUGUUUUCAAUUGCUUCAAAUUCCAAACAUGUACAGUUUAACCUACCGUGAAAUUCAACGUUUGCACUUGGCGAGAAGAUUUUAGUUUCAGUCUUUCAUUUUUACGUCUUGAUGUUGUCGCUAUUUCUAUGCCAUAAGGUCCCUCUAAUCCAAAUAACAGAAGUGGGAAAAUAGCGAAUUGGAAGCUUACCAAAGAAGUGCUUUGAGUCGUUUCGCCUAAAGCAUGUCUUUUGCUCGGGCUCGAGGUCUGUAUCGCCAUUGAAAUAGCUCCCUUUCUCACUGGUUAGGGUUUGUGGAUUUGUUGUUUUAAGUCAAAAGGGGGUGGAUUUGGGGGCUUUGCACGAUUCCAUUAUAAGGAAAUAGCUCAAAACGUCACCCUUUUAAUUGGAUUUGGGUAGAGAAUAAAACAGAGAGGAAGAGGAAGAACUGGGUUUUGAGGGCAAAGAUGUGGGUUUUGUAGGUUGUUCUUGAUCUUCUUCUU